CCUACGGGGGGCAGCAGUGAGGAAUAUUGGUCAAUGGACGAGAGUCUGAACCAGCCAAGUAGCGUGAAGGAUGACUGCCCUAUGGGUUGUAAACUUCUUUUAUAUGGGAAUAAAACGUUCCACGUGUGGGAUUUUGUAUGUACCAUAUGAAUAAGGAUCGGCUAACUCCGUGCCAGCAGCCGCGGUAAUACGGAGGAUCCGAGCGUUAUCCGGAUUUAUUGGGUUUAAAGGGAGCGUAGGUGGAUUGUUAAGUCAGUUGUGAAAGUUUGCGGUUCAACCGUAAAAUUGCAGUUGAAACUGGCAGUCUUGAGUACAGUAGAGGUAGGCGGAAUUCGUGGUGUAGCGGUGAAAUGCUUAGAUAUCACGAAGAACUCCGAUUGCGAAGGCAGUUCACUGGACUGCAACUGACACUGAGGCUCGAAAGUGUGGGUAUCAAACAGGAUUAGAUACCCGAGUAGUC
rnacentral:rRNA from 1 species